CUGAAGAAGAUCUCAAGUCCUUGGCUGCUCAGUCACACAGCGACGACCAAUUCAUCUAUCCUUGGGUUUUUCAGCUAUACUUGAACCAUUGAAUCAACUUUUGUCAUCAGAGGUGAUCAACUUGGUGUUCAAAUUUGCGAUUUAUCGAUUUCCUAAGUUUUAGGCUUUCUUCUUUAGCAUUGUUUUGAUCGUUCAUUUGUCAAGGAGAGUUUCAAAUUGGAUUGGGGUUUGCAGAAAGGUUUCACCGAUUGCUUUUGAGCUUGAACCAGGUAACUAAUAGUUUGGAUCAACUCCAACUACAAUUGGAGCAACUACUUUUUUACAUCAACUCCAACUACAAUUGGAGCAACUACUAAUAGUUUAGAACUAAACCUUUUGUAAAGCUACAACUGAAGCAGCUAAACCUGUUGUACAACUACCAUUUCUGAACCAACCUCAGUAGCAACUUUGUUAACCUAUUUUUCUAACACACUUCGUCACGUUAACCUUUUUGUAUAAAAAAUCUUUCACUCUUUCAAUAGAAUGCAAUAAUUUUCCUUUUGUA